rnacentral:rRNA from 1 species
AGUGAACGCUGGCGGUAGGCCUAACACAUGCAAGUCGAACGGCAGCACAGUAAGAGCUUGCUCUUACGGGUGGCGAGUGGCGGACGGGUGAGGAAUACAUCGGAAUCUACUUUUUCGUGGGGGAUAACGUAGGGAAACUUACGCUAAUACCGCAUACGACCUACGGGUGAAAGCAGGGGAUCUUCGGACCUUGCGCGAUUGAAUGAGCCGAUGUCGGAUUAGCUAGUUGGCGGGGUAAAGGCCCACCAAGGCGACGAUCCGUAGCUGGUCUGAGAGGAUGAUCAGCCACACUGGAACUGAGACACGGUCCAGACUCCUACGGGAGGCAGUAGUGGGGAAUAUUGGACAAUGGGCGCAAGCCUGAUCCAGCCAUACCGCGUGGGUGAAGAAGGCCUUCGGGUUGUAAAGCCCUUUUGUUGGGAAAGAAAAGCAGCAGGUUAAUACCCCGCUGUUCUGACGGUACCCAAAGAAUAAGCACCGGCUAACUUCGU